rfam:Xiphophorus maculatus strain JP 163 A Contig1884.3, whole genome shotgun sequence.
CUUCAGGAUUUCUUAAAAUCCCCAACAGAUUCCUUAAAACAAACUGU